CAAGUCGAACGGUUGUAGCAAUACAGCAGUGGCAGACGGGUGAGUAACACGUGGGAACCUUCCUAGGGGUACGGAACAACUCAGGGAAACUUGAGCUAAUACCGUAUACGUCCGUGAGGAGAAAGAUUUAUCGCCCUUAGACGGGCCCGCGUCGGAUUAGCUAGUUGGUGGGGUAACGGCCUACCAAGGCGACGAUCCGUAGCUGAUCUUAGAGGAUGAUCAGCCACACUGGGACUGAGACACGGCCCAGACUCCUACGGGAGGCAGCAGUGGGGAAUCUUGGACAAUGGGCGCAAGCCUGAUCCAGCCAUGCCGCGUGAGUGAAGAAGGUCUUCGGAUUGUAAAGCUCUUUUACCAGGGACGAUAAUGACGGUACCUGGAGAAUAAGCCCCGGCAAACUUCGUGCCAGCAGCCGCGGUAAUACGAAGGGGGCUAGCGUUGUUCGGAAUUACUGGGCGUAAAGCGCACGUAGGCGGGUCGUUAAGUCAGGGGUGAAAUCCCGGAGCUCAACUCCGGAACUGCCUUUGAUACUGGCGAUCUUGAGAUCGGAAGAGGUGAGUGGAAUUCCCAGUGUAGAGGUGAAAUUCGUAGAUAUUGGGAAGAACACCAGUGGCGAAGGCGGCUCACUGGUCCGAUACUGACGCUGAGGUGCGAAAGCGUGGGGGAGCAAACAGGAUUAGAUACCCUGGUAGUCCACGCCGUAACUAUGGAAGCUAGCCGUCAGUCAGCUUGCUGAGUGUGGCGCAGCUAACGCAUUAAGCUUCCCGCCUGGGGAGUACGGUCGCAAGAUUAAAACUCAAAGGAAUUGACGG
rnacentral:rRNA from 1 species